rnacentral:lncRNA from 1 species
ACUCUGGCCCUGAGACCCCAUGUGGCCCCCCAGUAUGACAACUCCCUCAGCCCCUUCCCCGGUGGCCGUCUGCAGUGCUCCCAGCCCCCACCCUGGACUCACUCCUGUCCUGGCUUUCCUUCUAGUACCUUCUCCAGCCAUCCAGUGGGGACCGAAGCCUCCGAAAGCGGGUAUGAGUUAGUCUGCCUGACCCCCCACCACAUCAGGGUCACUCCUCCAUCUCCCUUGUCCCCCAGGCUGUCUCAGGUGUUCAGGCACCUUAAGACCAGGAAGUCCCUCUCGGAGUCUACCCUUGUUCUCUCUUGCUUCUUUCUUGCCUCCUUUAUUCUGGUUCCAUUCCCUGCAGACAGGGAGAGUUCCUUCCUCCUUAGAGAACCUAAGGUCCAGACUGGGCCUGCAAGGAGCUGGGAGAGUCUGGGUCCUCCCCAGGGAUCUGCAUUUUCCUCACAGGGUACCAGCCUGCGCUCGGCUACAGACCAGGAGUGGAACUGGGUGAGGAGGCCCUCUGCCUGCGUCCUCCCUUUCCCCUCCUCCCCUCCCCUCUUCCUCCCCUCCCCUCCCUGUCCUCCCCCAGCCCAGGAAGCACAGAGGCAAACCGAGCUCUCCGACCCCUGUGUCUUCUCCCCAGGCUUCAGCGGUGGCUUUAAGCCCCAGAAAGUCGGUUUUGGUUACAGGAAUGGUGCUCUGGGAGCUGGGCUCUUCCUGGAAGCCCGCCCACAGCCAGGUGCCUGGGGUGCUGGGUGGGCCGGGCUGGGGGCCCUGGGCUCAUGGGCUGCUCUUGCCUCUGACUUUCUCUUUCCUCCUCCAGGGUUCCCUGGGGCUGAUGGCUUUAGGAAUGGUGAGUUGGACCCAGGGGACAGGGUGCAGGGGGCGAGGGGAAGGGAUAUGCAGGGGCUGGGCAGGCGUCACCUGGGUCUCUUACAGGGUUCAGGGGGGAGGAAGCACUGGUGCACCCCGAAGUGGCAGCUCCAGCCCCUGAAGGAAAUGGUAAGAAACGUUUAGGGAGCAGAGUGGACCUGAGCCAGGGUGGUGGGGCCAGGCCCUGUGGGUGAGGGGCUCUGAGACCCCAGAAAGAUGGGGCUUCCUGAACCUCCUGCUGCUGUCAGCAGGGGUUUCCCAAGCCAGCUCUGCUCCUUCAGGUCAGGCCAGGGCCCUGAGGGGCUCUCCCUGGCCCUCCCUGCACUCCUGGGGGGCUGCCCUGAAGGCCAGAUAUGGAGCUGGAAAUGCACUUCCAGAGGUCCAGAGCCAGCCAGGUAAUGGGGUGUGUGGGAGAGUGUUGUUGGGCGUUGGGUGGCCGUGGGAAAUGGGUCCUGGGCCCUGGGUGCAGCCGAACCGCCCCCCUUCCAGCCCUGCAGAGCUGGAGAGAGUAGGAUGGGUCCGGGGCAUAGGCGGGAAGGACAGGGCUGGCAAACAGGCGGCAGAGCAGGGGCCCCUGAGUGAGAGCCCAAGUGCUGGACGAGCCGGGGAUGCCCCGGAAGGAGGGCUGCGGGGACACAGUGCUCUCACCUGUCCUCCCACCAGGGCCCUAUGGGCAGCCAAGGCCACAGGUGGGCCCUGGGCCCUUCGGUGAGUGGGGGUCUCCCAGGGCCUAGAGUAAAGCUGGGGUGGGCAGGACUCCAAAGUCCUGGGGUGCCCUGGGUGCCCUGGCUUGUCUGGGUGCCUUAGGGGGCCCUGGGGUGAAGAGAGGCAGCUGUGGCCCACUGGGAGGUGGCUGUGGAGGUGAGAGGGAACACGGGGCUCCUGUCCCCCACUCACCCUGGGCCACCUUGUCACCCCAGCUCCUGGGAGGGGUAUCAGGCCCUCAGGCCCCCUGUAGGUGUCUGCUGGGCGACUGGCCUCAGAGACCAGAGGCGGGAGAGGGUUCACGGCCCUCAGGAAGUGAGGAGGGGCCGGAGCUCACCAGGGCUCUGCUCUGCCUCUUCCCAGGACGCUGCCCUCUCGGGAAGUGCUGAGCUCCGCUGAGAUCCACGGCCUGUCCUGAAGGCCUGUGUUGGAGCCUGGUCAGCUAGGCAAGACUGGCCGUACCCUGGGGCUCAGUCUCUGGCCUGGGGGCUCCCGUGGCUGGAAGUGUCAAUAAAGGCAGUGAGCUUCCCUGUCUGUCCCUGUGU